GCCUCGAUAUCCUUCCAGGGGCCCUUCCAGCUCCGGCUGCUCUGUGGCCACAGUGAGCUGCCAGCGUCUUGAAUCAUGCCACUUCUCCUGUGGGUAGAAGGUUUAUUCCAUGGUUUUAAUUAAAUUUGGUAAAGCCACAAGAAAAACUUGUCAUGUCUCCAGGGAACAACUUGGAAACAGGUGCUUUAAAAAAGCUGCUAGUGGCUCUUUUCCACCAUCCGAGGAGGCAGACAGAUCUGUCUUCUCUCUCCUCCCUUCCCCCACUCCUUUACCAUGAAAACAAAACAAAAAAGCUGCUUGUGCCAAGUAUAAGGCCCCAAGGCUGUGGUGCCAGUACGCGGACACUUCUGGAGAAAUGGCUCUCGUUCGGCAGUCACCACAGCUGUCACCGCAGCAAUGGCCAAUGCACAGGAAAGCAUUCGGCACAGAGCAGUGGCCAGACGAUGGGUACAACUACAGGGAGGAGCAGGGCAGGCCAGUGCAAGGUCACAAUAAAACAGUAAGACUGUGACCCGCACUGUCACUCUGCUUUCAGAAUGAAUACAGUAUGAUUUGGGUCUACCAACACUAAAACAAAAAAGAAAUACCUGUAUUUCUGUGACUGCUUCAGUGCGGACAUCAAAACAAACUCCCUAGAAAUCAAAGCAGGAAGAGUUAAUCCAACUAACACGAGAAAUCACCAAAGAAAACAGCAGGCACUGAGGCUGGAUGGAACACGGCUAACAUAUGCUCCUGAAGACAGCAGCAGGAGUUAAAUGCUUCAAAAUGGACCAAGAUAUGCAAGCGCCUGAGUAAAGUGAUAUCUGCACAGCAGUUUGGGUAGGAGACAGCACCACAGGAGGACAGACAUAUCCUGCUUAAGAUGCUAACCAAACCAAGCUGAGGUUUAUUUAUUAUAUAUACAGUAUUUUGCCUCUAUCUGAGA